AGGAGAAUCAUCUCUUUCUACAGCCUUGAGAGUUGCUUUGUGGUUUGGUGAUGUUCUAUGGGUGUUUGAGUUUGGACAGGCACUAUAUCACAACCUUGUGAGCUAUUGGAUAAAGAUCACCUAUUGUUUCUUCUUUUUUCUCGCUAGUCACCCUUAGAGAGGAAAAUGCGACCUUGUAAGUUGCAUUGUGUUGGUGUUUCUUCGUUGGCAUUAUUUUUAGAGGGGAAGUGCAAUCUUGUGAGUUGUUUUGUGUGUUGGUGCCUUUGUGUAAACGUUUUUGAAUCUGGUAUAGUACUGUUACUUUGAGGCUAUAGUGCAUCCUUGAGGGUGCUUUGGAACCUGGUGUGUUGCAGCAUUCUGGCUGCUAGUUGCUCUAUUUGUGAGUUGUUUUAAGGGAGUUAUUGGCUUCAAUAAGA
rnacentral:misc_RNA from 1 species